UGGCUCUCGCAUCGAUGAAGAACGCAGCGAAAUGCGAUAAGUAAUGUGAAUUGCAGAAUUCAGUGAAUCAUCGAAUCUUUGAACGCACCUUGCGCUCCUCGGUCCUCCGAGGAGCACGCCCGUUCGAGUAUCACGUUAACCUCUUGACCUCGGUAGAAAUACUGAGGUCGAGGAUUUGGGUGUUGCCGGCCCUAAGGUCGGCUCGCCUCGAAAUGCAUUAGUGGGGACCUGCCCUGCGCGGUGUUGAUAAUUGUCUACGUCGUGCUGGUCUCGGCUCUGCUCACAACCACCACAUUCAACAAGUUUGAUCUCGAAUCGGGCGGGACUACCCGCUGA
rnacentral:misc_RNA from 1 species